AUGCCCAAGCUGGGUCAGCCGUGUGAGCUCAAGACGACAGGGCCCGAGAGUGGCUUCAAAGUCCCGAGUAAUCACCGCGCCUUCUCAGCAAAACCCAAACCCUGUCCAGAGAAGUCUCUGUCGGCGCAAAUGGCCGGGGUCGACAACCCAGCGCUGGCCAUGGGGAGCUCCCAAGCCUUGCAAAGCACCAGUCUCAGCAGGGGCAUUUACUCUUUGUUGUCAAGGUGUAUGAAAGGCAGUCGAGAAAAGGAAAUUACUCGCCUUUCCAGUGGAAAGCGCAGAAGGCGUCGUCGGGGCUGGCGCUCGUCACUCGUCUUUCUGCCACUAGGUGGUUCCUUUCUCAGAUCCUAGUACCUCUAGGCCCAGAGGAAAAACCGCAUUUACACACUCCCUCCACCCUGUCCCCAGGAAAUGUCAAGGACUACGAAGGGAGCCUAGGAGCUAAAUAACCGUUGGGGGGGAAAAAACCAUAAAGGCGGUUUUAUGUUAUUUGUAAUGCGUUGGCAGAAGUUUUGUGUUUUUUUCCUACCCCCAUCCCCACCCCCCUUCUUGAGGAAGGCAUUAAACUCGACCUUGAACGGAAAUCUCAGAAGGAAACCAUAAGGUAUUUAAACAAGAAUAAAAGAAGGACAUCUCAGGUGUCUGGAAAUGGGACAGUGGGUAGGCAAGAGAGAAAGACACCACGGUGUGAAUAUAGCCAAGUAUUCCAUUUAUUAACAAAAUAAGUCUUACCAAGGGAGAGCUCUAUCCAUCCCAAACAGGCCCCACAGCCCCCCACACUGCUGCACAAGACCAGGAGGGAGGGAAGGUGUGGGGAGAAGACCCAGGGGUCGGAGUCUUCCAUCCCAGUCACUGAGGGAGCCCACGGAAGCCGAUGGCCAACUUUGGGGAUUCUGUUGGGUCAGGCCUGGGAGGGGGUGAUGGGGCUACUGUGAUCCGUGUACUCCCGGGCUCCCCAACUGUCCCCCAAUGGAGCUACCGAGGUUGUACUGCCCUCUGAUAUUGCCACUGGUCUGCUUUGGAGGGAUCUAGCAAGAAUCACUGACCAUACCCUUACCACCAGGGGACCACUGCCCCCCACGCCCAAAAGAGAAUAAAACAGGACUACCAAUGCACUUUGCAAAAUAUUAAGAGCAAAGUUUCACCAGCAGGGCCUCCUAGGACUUUUAACUGAGUGAGAGAAGCCCUACAGGUCCCCCACCAGCAGGCCGUGUGACUACCGGGUGUUUGGGGCCAUGAGAAGUCUGGAAGGUAGAAAGGCUGUCAGAGGCCGCUUGGGUCUCUCACAGGGGAGCCUGCUGGUGGGGUCAGGGCUCUUAGUGCUUACAGCAAGACAGAGGAGCAAGGCUCUAAUUUUGGGGGCCAGGGUGCAGACCAAGGACCCCAGAAGAAGAGGGUUGCAGGGGACGAGUCACAGAGCAGAGUUCUGGGUCAACAGAACACAAGACCUCUUGCCACCAAGGCGGAUCCCUGCAUCCCCGCAAACGAGUUACAAAAAAUAUCUCCUCUCUGUUAAUUGUACAAAGGAUAAAACAGAAUCUCAAAUGUAAGGAAACAAGAAGAAAUGAAGGGGAAAGAGGGGGAAAAGAGAAGGGGGAAAUGUAGUCUUAACGGUUAGGAAGCAUGCAAGAAACUCCCCAGGAAGGGAAAACAAAUAGAAGAACCCCAGAACCCCAACUCUCCCUCCUCCCCCUAAAACCAAACCAAUCAAAAAAAGAAAGAAAAAAANNNNNNNNNNNNNNNNNNNNNNNNNNNNNNNNNNNNNNNNNNNNNNNNNNNNNNNNNNNNNNNNNN
rnacentral:lncRNA from 1 species